GAGUUUGAUCAUGGCUCAGAACGUACGCUGGCGGCACGCCUAACACAUGCAAGUCGAACGAAGUAGCAAUACUUAGUGGCAGACGGGUGAGUAACAUGUGGGUAUUUACCCUUUGGCCUGGAAUAACACGAGGAAACUUGUGCUAAUACCGGAUAAGUCUUUACGGAGAAAGCUUUAUGCACCAUUGGAUGAGCCCGCACUUGAUUAGUUUGUUGGUAGGGUAAUGGCCUACCAAGACUAUGAUCAAUAGCUGAUUUGAGAGGAUGAUCAGCCACAUUGGGACUGAGACACGGCCCAAACUCCUACGGGAGGCAGCAGUGGGGAAUCUUGCACAAUGGAGGAAACUCUGAUGCAGCGAUGCCGCGUGAGUGAAGAAGGCCUUUGGGUUGUAAAGCUCUUUCGUCGGGGAAGAAAAUGACUGUACCCGAAUAAGAAGGUCCGGCUAACUUCGUGCCAGCAGCCGCGGUAAUACGAAGGGACCUAGCGUAGUUCGGAAUUACUGGGCUUAAAGAGUUCGUAGGUGGUUGAAAAAGUUGGUGGUGAAAUCCCAGAGCUUAACUCUGGAACUGCCAUCAAAACUUUUCAGCUAGAGUAUGAUAGAGGAAAGCAGAAUUUCUAGUGUAGAGGUGAAAUUCGUAGAUAUUAGAAAGAAUACCAAUUGCGAAGGCAGCUUUCUGGAUCAUUACUGACACUGAGGAACGAAAGCAUGGGUAGCGAAGAGGAUUAGAUACCCUCGUAGUCCAUGCCGUAAACGAUGUGUGUUAGACGUUGGAAAUUUAUUUUCAGUGUCGCAGGGAAACCGAUAAACACACCGCCUGGGGAGUACGACCGCAAGGUUAAAACUCAAAUGAAUUGACGGGGACCCGCACAAGUAGUGGAGCAUGUGGUUUAAUUCGAAGAUACGCGCAGAACCUUACCAACACUUGACAUGUUCGUCGCGACUCUAAGAGAUUAGAGUUUUCGGUUCGGCCGGACGAAACACAGGUGCUGCAUGGCUGUCGUCAGCUCGUGUCGUGAGAUGUUGGGUUAAGUCCCGCAACGAGCGCAACCCUCACUUUUAGUUGCCAUCAUUAAGUUGGGCACUCUGAAAGAACUGCCAGUGAUAAGCUGGAGGAAGGUGGGGAUGACGUCAAGUCCUCAUGGCCCUUACGUGUUGGGCUACACACGUGCUACAAUGGCAUCUACAACAGGAAGCAAAACGGCAACGUUAAGCAAAUCCCGAAAAGAUGCCUCAGUUCGGAUUGCACUCUGCAACUCGAGUGCAUGAAGCUGGAAUUACUAGUAAUCGUGGAUCAGCGUGCCACGGUGAAUGCGUUCCCGGGUCUUGUACACACCGCCCGUCACACCAUGGGAGUUGGUUCUACCUUAAGGCAAGGUUUUAAACCCUUGACCACGGUAUAGUCAGCGACUGGGGUGAAGUCGUAACAAGGUAACC
rnacentral:rRNA from 1 species